ACUACUUACAUAUUUGUAAUGUAUUACGUUUACAGUACAGAUAAUCGAAAAUAUUCAAUACUGUUACAAUACUGGGGUUUGUGACGUUGAGUACAAUAUGUGGUGAUAUAAAAAAAAAAAAAAAAAAAAAAACAGUAUUUUGAAAUUAACUUUAUAUUUUGUAACAGAUGGGGGAAAAAAACAAAACAAUUUAGGACUAUAUUUUAGAUGCCCAUGGUUUGAUUUUGAAAGAAACACAGGUUCAUUGUUUCAUUCUUUUUAAACAAAUCCCGACUAUAAACUGGGCCAGGAAUACAUAGCACGCGUAUAAAACAGAAGGCUUUAAUUUUGAACAAGGAAUUUUUUUUUUAUGUUUAAUGUGUGGAAUUUGGUGCUGUGAGGUUAAACCAGUGAACACCAUCCAUUGUUUCUUAAUCCUUUCUUUAUAUUUAUAUUUGCGCCUUAAUUUUAUUAUUGAAUAUUAGGAACACAAAUAUCUAUUUAUUUGUGAAUAUCUCGUCACCUAUUAGAACUACCGCGGGUCCAAAAGGCUAGUGUUGCUAUUCUCUUUUGACAUCCAUUCAUAUCCAAAGAAGCCGCUACAUGCAGCUACUUGGUUUCUACAGAUUCUGUAUAUUUAACAGUGUACUCAACGUUGUGUUUAUUUUAAAGAGUUUUCGAGAAGAACCAUAACAGAUCGUGUCGUUUUUAUGUUGCAGUAUUUUUAAUUAAUUUUUCUAUCACCCACAUUGACUGUAUCGAUCUGUGGCAGAAAAGUGUAACACGUGUUUCAGGAACAUUCAAAACUCGAAUGGAUUUUUUCUUUGUGUUAGCAAACCGAUAUUCUGAACAAUGUAAAGAAACGCAUCAUGCAACAGUUAACGUUAGAAAAACACCCAGCAGCAGAUGCAUAUAUGUUUUAAAUACAAAUUACUUUUCUGUCAGAUUCACCGGGUCUGAGUUGUAUCCUUUUAAUGGCAAUGACAUAGGAACCUCCUGAGGCAGUUAUCAGUAACAUCUCCCAGUGUUUUCAAUGAGAAAUCUAUUGACAAUUGACAGCGUUAAAGAACAGAGGGAAUCUGCCUUAAUUCCUAGAAGAUAACCAACGAAAGCAUUUGCAGACCAGGAGCUCAGUUCAUGGAGUAAAAUAAGGAAGCGAAACCCGCGAGAAGAGCCCCAGUGCCUACUGGCAAAGACGAAAGAAUUCUGUGUCUUGAAAAUCCAACGCUGAAGCCAGAGAAUCACCCAUCGAUGAGCAAGACAACACAAACACAACAAAGGACACUUUGAUAGGACAUCCCCAGUACGUAAGACAGAAUUUGUGCCUAAAGAAGACUUGGUUCAUCUAGCAAAUGUUAAGAAUUCCCUUCGUCAAAAGAAUCACAGCUCUUUUUAUGUAAAACUGUUAUUUUUAGCUUGUUUAGACAAAUCUGUGCCUUUGUCUUUAUAUAUAACCACCAAUUACUUAGGGUUUACUAUUUAUUGCUUUCUAAACAAAAGGAAAUGCAACAUAUUGUUGUUGUCCUUAGGAAUGCACAUAGUAUCACAAUAUGAUCCUAAUACAGAUUUAAUAAAUACAAUGUGGCAGCAAAAUCUGAUAACUAUAAAGAUUCAAAAUAGUUCAUUUUAUGAUCAGUUGUAAACUAUUGUACCUAAUCUGUAAACUGACUGUUCGGCAUUUUAUUUAUUUAUGUAUUAUUUACUGUAUAGCAUAGAAUACAGAAUAUAAUAGAAUCUCUUUCAAUGUUACAAAUAUCUUGUGAGUACAGUAUGUUUGUUUUAAUAAGCAAAAGUGUAAUGGAGGUUAAAUACAGGUCCUAAUACAUCACAAGAGCUUUUAGAGUUACAUUGCCAUGUUCAUUUUUUUUUGUUCUAUAAUAUGAUUGGGUGAUGUCUGUUUUAUCCAGUCUUGUAUCCUUUACACACUACUUUUUCUUGAACCUGUCCAGUUUGUUUACAUUCCUCAAAGGACAUUUCAGCUGAAGGUAGAUACCUGGCCCUCUUGAACUUUGAAACAGGUACAGAAAUACGCUCCUGAUUCUACCUUCAGCAGUAAGAGGUUAUAUUGCAGCAGCUCCGGAAGCUAAAACAUACAUUUUAAAAGGUUGGUUGCCUUUUUCCCAAAAUGUGUUUUGUGCUGAUGCUGUAUAUUGCAGAGUAAACACAAACAGAGCUGAUUUUCAAUAAGAUUAGUGUGUGUGUGUGUGUGUGUGUGUGUGUGUGUGUGUAAAACCAUAUAGGGCACAACACCUUUAAAAGUCAGUUUAAUACAUUUAAAAUUACAGAAGCAAUACUGAGACUAUUCAUACUGGGAAAACUACUGUAUUUCUAAUGUAAAUUCAGGUCCAUCAGUCUCUACUGCUUGAAAACAACGCAAUGCUGCUAAUUGACUGUUUUGGGGUUUCUUUUCUUUUUUUGGAAUGUGUGUGUGUGGGGGGGGGUUGUUCUUAAUGAAAACUUAAAAAAAAAAAAAACUUGCUAACAAUAUUUGAACUAGUUAUAAGCAAACUGAUAAGAAAUGUGAACUACAUGAACUAACAUGAAAUCUUACAUGACCUAAGAGACCAGUUUCUGUUGAUUGUGUCUAUUUAAUUUACACCUGUGAUUGCAUAUCCUGUGGGCUUAAAGUGAGUCUGAUGUAUCUGUAUUUAAUUGUGUUCCAUUUGUAGAACUUGCGUUGUUUACACUUUCAUUAAAGCAUCUGGGAUUCUUCAAGGCCAACAUCCUUCACUUACUAUAAGAAUAUAGUCUUUUUAAAGCUGCAGUGCCUCACAACCAUGUUUUAUAACUUCAGGUACUGUAUAGUAAUGUACAUUCACCAAUAUCUUUGUCUUCUCUGCACUCUACUUCAUAGAAACAAGACUUUGUUGACUAUCCAGUUUGUCUACCUUCCCCAAACAUAAUUUCAGCCACAGGCACACAAGCUGUCACCUCACAGCUAAGUCUGUGUAAACUAAACAGGCAUUGCAGCAGUAGCAGGUUAUCUAUGAUAGAAAUGAGAUCUUCAAUCUAUGUAACAGAGCAGGAAUUAAAGGGGAUUUCUAUUUAUUCCAGAUAGUGUUUUUGUUAUACAGAUCUGAUAUUAUCAAUGUGGGCAUAUAAUGUAACAGUGUUAUGGGACUUUACAGCUUUAAAAUAAUAAUAAUAGAUUUUAAUUUAGAUCAGCUUGAUAUUAGAAAUGGUAUACUGUAACAUGCCAGAUUCCCGAAGCUACCUUCCUCACAUCCGUGUUGCUUGUGUAAUAUCAAAGUAAAUAUGUAAUAUCGACAGAGUUAUCCAAUGGAGGUGCUGAUGUUAUAUAUUACUUGUUCCUGCCUACCAGUUGUUCCUGUUAAUGUAACGUAUGUAUGUUUCAUACAGAAACAAAUCUCUAGUUUGAAUUGGUUCUUAACCUUUUUGUUGCAUAGUGCACUGUGGCAGCUCCACUGCCGCUAAUUUCUGUAUUUAAACCUUGUGAUACUGUUAAAGCAUUCCCAACUUAAUGUACAGCAUGCUUGUGGAAACUUUGUUUAUGGCCCAUUCCAUUUUCCCAGACAAACCUGUGAACUGCUCUGCCCAUGCACACUGUAUCAUGUUAGAUUUUUUACUAGUAUAAACUGGAUGUUUAUACAGAUAUAACUGUGACUCUAAAAUGUAUUAAAAAAAACCACAGACUACUGAAAAUAAACCAUCACAAGAUAUUCUCCAUACAAUGCAUUAAGUGUAAAAAAAUAAAUGAACAAAUAAAUAAAUACCUUACCUGGUUACUUUUGGAAUAGGCAUCAGAAUUGCUGUAAAUAUGUCAGUUAUUGCUCCAGUGAGCUCUGGUGGAUUAUCACUUGGCCUUACUCACAGCCUGGCACUGCCUUGACAUGGGUUUAAAUAUUCUGUAUGCCUAGUUCAUGAUCCCUAAUGUGAAUCAGAGUCUUCAGGAGAUUUGUCUUUCAACCAGGUAUCUUUGAAUCUACUGAGUUUGCCUACAAGAGGUGGUCAAAAUUCAAACACACUACAAAUUUAAUUGAUUGGCGUUUCAAAGUUUCAGAAUUUGUAACAGCAUCACAGAUUUGGCCAUUUCUGUUCAUAUGCUGCAUGAACUGAUUAUUCGGGUAUUUGGAUUGAGUUCUCCAAAGAAAUCAGGCGCUGACAAUCAGUGAGGGUGUUGACUGGGUUAAUAUAUCAUUCAAAGUGAAACUAGUGAAGAAAGAGCUGCUUGGCUUUGUGAUGAUCGUUGCUUUUCUUAGACUGGAGAACAGCAAACCACACAAAACCAAGCAGCUGUUUCUUCAGUUGUUUCACUUGGAAUGGUCAAUUAACCCAAUCCGCACCAAUGACCCUCGUCUGUGGAGAGCUCAUUCCCAAUAAUCCAAUAGUCGGUCCGUGCAGCUCUAACUGAGGAAGUGUAAAGUUAGCUGGAUAUUUGUUCAUCUUUAUUCUAUUUUGACCACUUCCUGGCCACAUCCCAAACAUCGAAAACUGCAACAGUCUUUGGAUAAAGUUAUCGUUUUUCCAGUAAUCCGAUUUCUAUUAUUUCUCCCUCUUUGGUAUUAUUAAACCGGACAGUCACCAGUGUUUAUCAUUUUGUCCUCACAGCUGUAUUAAAUAUGAAACAAAAUUAUCAGUAAAUGGUUGAUUAAUUACAGGUUAGGAAACUCGUUACAUGUCCAUUUCCAUUUUUGUUUUUUUUUAAUGGGUUUGAAUUUUGACCAUUCCUUUAAGCAAAUUCUCCAUCUAAAGUACUUUCUUAAGAAAUACAAUGCAAGGCGAUGCAGUAUUUAUGAUGGUAAACUGAACACAAUUAAAUAGUUAAAUAGUUAAAUAGCUAUUAAAUAGUUCUAAACUUAGAACUAAAUACACCCAUCAUGUUCAAAAAGAACUCUGUACCAUAAUAAAGAAAACCAACAUCUCCAACUUUGCACGGUCUCCUUCAUCUAAUUUAAGUUUUGAUAAAACAUUAAUUUGUCUAAGAAAUAUAACCUGAGCUCAGAUGAGAACAUAUAGUGUUUAAUGUGGCUGAAUCCUCCUAAAAUGAGUCACAGUCUGAAAAUGUGUCCAGCAGCCUCAGCAAAUAAAUAAUGGAAUUGUAUUUUUAUGAUCAUUUGCAUAUUCUCAAUGUUUUCUGUCAA